AGGAUAAACGCUGGCGGCGUGCCUAACACAUGCAAGUCGAACGUCCUACGCAAGUAGGGAGUGGCGGACGGGUGAGUAACACGUGGGCAAUCUACCUUUCGGUGAGGAAUACCGGCGAGAAAUCGCCGACAAAUACCGCAUAUGUUUCGCAAGAAACAAAGUCGCAAGACGCCGGAGGAGGAGCCUGCGCCCGAUUAGCUAGUUGGUGGAGUAAAAGUUCACCAAGGCGACGAUCGGUAGCUGGUCUGAGAGGAUGAUCAGCCACACUGGGAUUGAGAACGGCCCAGACUCCUACGGGGGGCGAGCAGUGAGGAAUUUUUCGCAAUGGGGGGCAACCCUGAACGAGCAACGCCGCGUUGCAGGAAGAAGGUUUUCGGAUCGUAAAACUGCUUUUCUCGGGGAAGAGAACGGACGGUACCCGAGGAAUCAGCCCCGGCUAACUACGUGCCAGCAGCCGCC
rnacentral:rRNA from 1 species